CUAAGCAGUGAUGUGGAGCAAAUCCCCAAAAGCAGUCUUAGUUCGGACUGUAGGCUGCAACCCGCCUACAUGAAGUCGGAAUUGCUAGUAAUCGCGGAUCAGCAUGCCGCGGUGAAUACGUUCCCGGGCCUUGUACACACCGCCCGUCACACCAUGGGAGUUGGUAACACCCGAAGUCAGUAGCCUAACCGCAAGGAGGGCGCUGCCGAAGGUGGGAUCGAUGACUGGGGUGAAGUCGUAACAAGGUACC
rnacentral:rRNA from 1 species